rnacentral:rRNA from 1 species
AUUAUUUUAAGCUGUAUGUUGGUAGUAAGUAAAAUUUAUGAAAUCAUAAAAUUUUGGCGGUAUUUUAAGCUUGUUAGAGGAAUUUGCUCUGUAAUGGACACAACGCCUAGAUCUUACUUAAUUUGGUAUUAAAAGUCAGUUUGUAUACCACUAUAUUUAAUUAUAUUGAGUAGUUAUAUUUAAGAUUUUUAAAAUAAAAAAAUAUAUUAAGUCAAGGUGCAAUUAAUAAUUAUGAAUGAGGUGAAUUACAUUAAUUUUAAUGUUAUUAUAAUAUUGAAAAAGAAAUUUUUUAGGAUUUAAUAGUAAAAUGUUAAUACAAUGAAUAUUUGAAUAAAGCUCUAAAAUAUGCAC